UCAACUAAAGAGAUUCAAGUAAAGUCAAUAUAAAAUUUAUUCUUUUGUGAGAAUAUAUAAUAAUCAUUGUGAGAGUGAUAGUCUUGCUGUCUUUCACACAUUUCAAAUAUAACGUCUUUAGAGAUAUAAAAGCAGCAAAACAUUUGGAAUGAGACAACUGGGUUUGAAUUGAGUUCUGCCUAUUAUUUGCUUUGAAAUCUAAAGAUAGUUUUUCAAUGUUUCCUCGUCUGUAAAUCAGGAUGGGGUUGGUUGUGAAGAUUAACUAAGAUAACGUACAUAAAACUCCUAACAGUUUCCAGCAUAUAGCAGCUACUCUACAAAUGGUAAGCCCUUUCCUUUAACAGGAUUAGAAGUUCAUGUUAAUUCAGGAUGAAUUGCAUCUCAUCGUCCUAGGCAUGUGUCUUUGUAAUCUUUAUAAUUUGCAAAUAAAAUGUGUAUUAAGAAAAUACCAAAGAAAAUUGCUUAUAAAAAGUUGGAAAUAGAAGUUUAACCUACAUAGAAAAAUUACGAGCCUGAGCCUCACUAUUUAAAAAUAAUUCAUUGAAUGUCUAUGCAGAGAAGUUGGAAAGGGAAGCAAAGUUCUCUUGUUAGGUAUCUGUUGAGUAGGCCACAUAGAAAACUUUAAAACCAACAACAUUAAUUCCAUUCUAACUCCCUUUUAAAACAAUAGUAAAAAUUCUUUACAUUUGUAUACUGCUUUACAGUUGACAAAGAGCUUUCACAUACAUUAUCUCCUUUAAAAGAGACUGGAAGGCACCUUUCCUGCCUGAUUGAUGUUUAUGAAUGUACUACUUUCCCCUGGGCUGCAGUCAUCAAUAGUCAAUGAGAAGUAAGGCUGGCGUUUUUGGAAAUGCUCUGCUGCCAGUGCCCGCCCUCAGGAUCUAUAUCCUCAAUGAAGUUCUGUCUGAUGGCUCUAGCCAUUUCAGGAAAAACCGACACAGAGGAUACUUCACUUAGUCCUAAAGAAAAAAAAAAGUAAAAAGUGCAUAAACAGAGCUUACUAAGAACAAAUAAAAUAGCAACAACAACAAACACAAUGGGAAAAAUCUUGGAAAAAACUCAGUGUAAGUUACAUUUUUAACCACCUUAUAUAUACUUUCAAGUUCAGGUUUUUCUGAAAUUACCUUGGUAUAUACAAUCUCUAAGAUAAAUGGACCAACUUAUAAGUGGAUAUGCACUUUGAUAAUUAUUUUGACCCCACUUUUGUAAAAUAAGAAGUGAUGAGAUGUCUGAAAUAGCAAUAUUCAGGGGCCUAAUCUCACCCUCUGAGAGGAGAGAAGAAGUAGGAGGAGGGUAAGGGAGAGGGAUGGGCAAAGCCAGUGGUUUCUCUAUGUGAGGAAAAAUCAGGAGUGAGUGGAAGAAGGGCACGAUAAGAAAGAGAUUACAUGCCAUAGGAGAAACAGCACUGGACUUAGAGUCAAAACACAAGGGUCUCAGCCUUUGCGCUGCCAUUUACUGGUGGCAUAAUUAUAUGGUCUCUCUAGAUUCUAUGUUCUCCCCUAGACUCUUUUGAAACAGGCUUCUCUUCUAACAGAGACUGCUGCUGUUUCUACAGUAUGGUGAGCUCUCAUAUACUAAGUAACUCAACUGUGUCCGUCUGGACUAGGAUCUUCUUGAAGUCCCAAUUAAUCUAGGCCACAACUGAUUCUUUUCAGAAAGGCCUGACUCCUCCCAAGCAUCAGUUUGUUCAACUAAUUCUGCUGGAAACUUUGGGACAGGUAAUUCCACUCCACCUCACAACCCUAAUACACUUGUCACUGCCCUUUGAUCAUCUGCCCAUUUGCACAAACUGGCUCUCUCCAGAGGACCAGGCUUCCUCUCUAGCAGAGACUCAACUUAAUGUUUAGUUGGAAGAGAAAGUUUGUGUUCUUCUCAUUCUCCAGGAUUGUUUUCAGGUUAUUACACCUCUACCUUUGGGCAGAAUAAUCCCAAUUCUUUGAGGCUUCACACCUUCCCACAGAGCAGCCACCUAAUACCUUUCAGUUGGUGACAUCUACAAAUCUCCUGGACUUCACCGAUGACUUUGAAGCCUGGUUCACUCUCUUCCAUGCCAGUUCUGACAUGAUCCUAGCACCUUGGUGCUAUGCGAACAUGCUGGAAUGCUAGACUAUGUGUUUCUUCACUUCUUGAAUUCUAUUGUCCUUUGCAUUUAACUAUUCAUAUCUCUUCACUGCCCGUAACUUUUUCAGGAAGUAUUCCACUAGUGAACCCUUGAAUUCAGCACUCUAGCAAAAAAUCUUGCUGUCUGUUACUUCCAAUCUACUUCGCCAUAACCUCCUGUAGUCACUUGCAUGUGCCAAAUUGAUUGUCUGUAAUUGAGUUAAAGACUAGAUACAGGAGAAGUGGGAUUUUCACCUGGAUCUUACAAAGGUUGACAAUUUUUCAUGAAGUCAGGGAAGUAUAUCUGUUGGUAGGAGUAGGCAUUGAGGGGGUGGAAAAAGGGAGUAGAUUUGCACCUUGUUUACCAAAUGACUUUCCAGUAAAGGUUCGAAUAGCAACUCUGAGGUAGAAUUCAACAUCUGACUCACUUGGGUUGUUUUUAAAGUGCCUGAUGAAGAAAAUACAUUUUCAUCUAACUCAUUGUAUAAGAAAUUUAUUUCUGGUAAGUUAAAAUCUAUUGUUGAGUUUCUCCAGACUCACCCCUCAUGGUGUUCCAAUUGCACACAGGCGAUACAACUAAGGAAGAAAACACAACUUGCACAGUCUUCUUCCUUUCUUCUUUCCUUCACUGAUUAAUUCAACGGAUAUUUUCCAAAAACCUAAAAUGCACCUG
ensembl:lncRNA